AUUCCAUGAUGGGGACAUUCUAGGAUGUAGUCUUGAAAGCGCUCCCAUGCUUCUAGAACAGUUUCAUCAUUUUGUUGCUGAAAACUUGUAAUCUUCCCACGGAGAGC
rnacentral:snoRNA from 1 species